rnacentral:rRNA from 1 species
GCAUGCCUACAACAUAGCGUUAAUGAACUGAAUGUUAUUAGAACUCCGCAGUUAAGCGCGUUCGAUCUAGAGUAGUACUAGGAUGGGUGACCGUCGGGAAAUCCUAGUAUUUUACAUGCC